GGCCCGGUGGUGUAGUUGGUCUAACAUACCACACUGUCAAUGUGGAGAUCGGGGGUUCGAAUCCCCUCCGGGUCGCCA
rnacentral:tRNA from 2 species